GUUAUAGGGUCAAGCGAACAAGUGCAUGUGGUGGAUGCCUUGGCGAUCACAGGCGAUGAAGGACGCGGUAGCCUGCGAAAAGCUACGGGGAGCUGGCAAACGAGCUUUGAUCCGUAGAUGUCCGAAUGGGGAAACCCACUCCUUUUGGAGUAUCCAUGGCUGAAUACAUAGGCCAUGUGAAGCGAACGCGGUGAACUGAAACAUCUAAGUAACCGCAGGAAAAGAAAUCAACCGAGAUUCCCAAAGUAGUGGCGAGCGAAAUGGGAUGAGCCUUGCACUCUUUAUUUGUAUUGUUAGCCGAACGCUCUGGAAAGUGCGGCCAUAGCAGGUGAUAGCCCUGUAGGCGAAAACAGUAUGAAAGAACUAGGUGUGCGACAAGUAGGGCGGGACACGUGAAAUCCUGUCUGAAGAUGGGGGGACCAUCCUCCAAGGCUAAAUACUCGUGAUCGACCGAUAGUGAACCAGUACCGUGAGGGAAAGGCGAAAAGAACCCCGGGAGGGGAGUGAAAUAGAACCUGAAACCGGAUGCAUACAAACAGUGGGAGCGGACUUGUUCCGUGACUGCGUACCUUUUGUAUAAUGGGUCAGCGACUUACGUUCAGUAGCAAGCUUAACCGAAUAGGGGAGGCGUAGGGAAACCGAGUCCGAAUAGGGCGCUUUAGUUGCUGGGCGUAGACCCGAAACCGAGUGAUCUAUCCAUGGCCAGGAUGAAGGUGCGGUAACACGCACUGGAGGUCCGAACCCACUAGUGUUGCAAAACUAGGGGAUGAGCUGUGGAUAGGGGUGAAAGGCUAAACAAACUCGGAGAUAGCUGGUUCUCCCCGAAAACUAUUUAGGUAGUGCCUCAUGUAUCACUUCCGGGGGUAAAGCACUGUUAUGGCUAGGGGGUCAUUGCGAUUUACCAAACCAUGGCAAACUCUGAAUACCGGAAAGUGCAAUCAUGGUAGACAGACGGUGGGUGCUAACGUCCAUCGUCAAGAGGGAAACAACCCAGACCGCCAGCUAAGGUCCCAAAUGAUCAGUUAAGUGGUAAACGAAGUGGGAAGGCCCAGACAGCCAGGAUGUUGGCUUAGAAGCAGCCAUCAUUUAAAGAAAGCGUAAUAGCUCACUGGUCGAGUCGUCCUGCGCGGAAGAUGUAACGGGGCUCAAACUGAUAACCGAAGCUGCGGAUUUGCACGUAAGUGCAGAUGGUAGGGGAGCGUUCUGUAGGUCUGUGAAGGUGUCUCGUAAGGGAUGCUGGAGAUAUCAGAAGUGCGAAUGCUGACAUGAGUAGCGAUAAAGCGGGUGAAAAGCCCGCUCGCCGAAAGCCCAAGGUUUCCUACGCAACGUUCAUCGGCGUAGGGUGAGUCGGCCCCUAAGGCGAGGCUGAAAAGCGUAGUCGAUGGGAAACGGGUUAAAAUUCCCGUACUUUUGUGUAGUGCGAUGUGGGGACGGAGAAGGUUAGGUCAUCAGACUGUUGGAAUAGUCUGUUUAAGCCGGUAGGUGUGAGGGGUAGGCAAAUCCGCCCUUCUUUAACACCGAGACGUG
rnacentral:rRNA from 1 species